rnacentral:rRNA from 1 species
AUUGAACGCUGGCGGCAUGCCUUACACAUGCAAGUCGAACGGUAACAGGUCUUCGGAUGCUGACGAGUGGCGAACGGGUGAGUAAUACAUCGGAACGUGCCCGAUCGUGGGGGAUAACGAGGCGAAAGCUUUGCUAAUACCGCAUACGAUCUACGGAUGAAAGCGGGGGAUCUUCGGACCUCGCGCGGACGGAGCGGCCGAUGGCAGAUUAGGUAGUUGGUGGGAUAAAAGCUUACCAAGCCGACGAUCUGUAGCUGGUCUGAGAGGAUGAUCAGCCACACUGGACUGAGACACGGCCCAGACUCCUACGGGAGGCAGCAGUGGGGAAUUUUGGACAAUGGGCGAAAGCCUGAUCCAGCCAUGCCGCGUGCAGGAUGAAGGCCUUCGGGUUGUAAACUGCUUUUGUACGGAACGAAAAGCCUCUUUCUAAUAAAGAGGGGUCAUGACGGUACCGUAAGAAUAAGCACCGGCUAACUACGUG